rnacentral:rRNA from 1 species
GACAGAGGGUGCAAACGUUGUUCGGAAUUACUGGGCGUAAAGCGUGUGUAGGCUGCCCCGCAAGUCGGGUGUGAAGCCCGGGCUCAACCUGGGAAAGUGCACUCGAAACUGCGGGGCUGGAGUCCUGGAGAGGAAGGCGGGAAUUCUCGGAUGUAGAGGUGGAAAUUCGAUAGAUAUUGGGAAGAACACCGAUGGCGAAGGCAGCCAUCUGGACCGACACUGACGCUGAGGCGGCGAAAGCGUGGGAGCAACAGG